GGGGGUGUGAGUGGGACUCUUACUCAACUCCGUUCGUUGGGAUAGUGUGUUCGUGCGCUACCCAGGACCUAAGACACAUUUACACGUACUGCGCCCGGAGAAGAAUCGACAAUUUGCCGACGGACGCGGGUUCAAUUCCCGCCAUCUCCACCA
rnacentral:tRNA from 1 species